ensembl:lncRNA
GUUAAAUUAAGGUUAACUUAAAUUAAAGCAAUGAAACAAAAUUGGGAAGACAACCAAGCUGAAUGAAUAGAAUGCGUGAAAUCAGAUAAUUCACACAAAAUAUAUCAAAUAAAAAAGAGAGAUGCAUAAGGCAUAUUAAGGCUGUGUCAUUGUUCAGCCAAGGAAAAUGUCUCCAGCUUGGGAAGGUGUGAAGCUGCAGGUUCACACAGACCCGUGAUGGAUACAUAAUAAAAUAUAAACUAAUAUACUAUUGUAUAUUAGUAGUAAAGUAGUGUAUUGUAAUAUACUGUUGCUGUUAUAAAAAAGGAAAAACAAUACAAUGAUAACAUUAAUAAUGACAUACUAUUAAUAAGAAGAGGCACCUCAGUCAGUUAUGAUGUGAGGUGAAUGAUUGUUAAAAGUAAUGAAGAGCAAACCUAUACUAACAACUAAUGAGCCAAAC